rnacentral:rRNA from 1 species
GAUGAACGCUGGCGGCGUGCCUAAUACAUGCAAGUCGAGCGAACAGAUGAGGAGCUUGCUCCUCUGACGUUAGCGGCGGAAGGGUGAGUAACACGUGGAUAACCUACCUAUAAGACUGGGAUAACUUCGGGAAACCGGAGCUAAUACCGGAUAAUAUAUUGAACCGCAUGGUUCAAUAGUGAAAGACGGUUUUGCUGUCACUUAUAGAUGGAUCCGCGCCGCAUUAGCUAGUUGGUAAGGUAACGGCUUACCAACGCAACGAUGCGUAGCCGUCCUGAGAGGGGGAUCGGCCCCCGCGGAGAUGCGAUACGCUCCAGCAUCAGAGGGGAGGCAGCGGCAGGGACUGUGACGCAAGGGGCCAGAGCCUGACGGAGCAUAGCCGCGUCAGUGAUGAAGGGCUUCGGUUAGUAAAAACCUGCUAUCCGGGAAGAACAAAUGUGCAAGUAACUACGCACGUCUCGACGGCACCUAACAAGAAACUGACGGUUAACUACUC